rnacentral:tRNA from 1 species
GCGAGGGUAGCGAAGCCUGGAAAACGCGCAGGACUUAAGAUCCUGUCUCUGAGUGAGUUCGUGGGUUCAAAUCCCUCCCCUCGCA